AGCAAUCCUCUUUACACUGUAUGGAUAGUGGGAAUUGAAGUUAAGGUAUUGUCCAGUGAAGAUCGGCUUGCGGUAUCCGGAUGUCAUGAAUCCAUACUUGGUGCGUGUUAUUAAUACGUCCAGGAAUGCUAGCUGGUUGAUAAUGGCAAAUA